CUUCUUCCCUGACUCCCCUCCCUCGCGAUCCGAUUUCAUCGCCAGUCGUCGGGAAGCGACGCCGAUCGCCGGCACAAGGCAGCCCUUGAUCGUUGAGGAGGAAAGCUACCGCCCCGACCUCUCCCCUUUCUCUCUCCCUCGCCGCGAGUCUCUUUUCUCCCGAGCCCCGAGCCCCUUUCUCUCGAUUUCUCCUCGUCGAUCGUCGACCCACGAGACGUCGGAGCCAAGCUCGCAAGGUCUCCGAUCACCUCUCCUCACCGGAUCUUGAAGGUACUAAAGAUGUCCAAGCCAUCUCUGGAGGUGUGAUCGCUUCCUCGGUUGGUCCUUUUCCCCGUCCAGGAGAUCCGAUUAGGGUUCAAUGAGGGGCAUAGAUCCGCGUCGUCUCAAGCCAAUUGAACUUCUCAUUCAUCCUCUUCAAUUCGUUUGCUGGAGAGUGAUCGGUUGCUCUUCAUCAACCGGAUUGGAGUAGGCGAUGGCACCUGGAAAGGACCAAAUCUAGGUUGUUCUUGUUCUGGAUUGGAGGAAGGCAUCGGAUCAAGGUAUUGGUAGAUUUCUCUUCUACCGAUCACUGCUUCUCCACUUCUUGAAGCUGUGGAGGUCACGGGUGAGGAGGCAAGGGACUAUUGAGGGAGGAUAGGUGUGUGUGUGUGCUUGUAGCUUAUGGACAGGGGUCAUGGGGUUGUGAGCUACUGGAUUAGCUGCUUCAUCUUAAGGUAAGUGUUUUUCUAGUGAUGUACUACUAGUUUUCUUAUUAGAGUGCUACUCUAUUGGGUUUUCUAAGGGAUUGUAGAAUUGAUUCUUGAUGUUAGUAGAUGACACGUAGAUUAAACGAUGGUGUUAAAUGAAUUAAUUGAUUUGAAUUUGGGAUUUGGUUGUGAUAAGUUGAUUUGUGAUGGUUAUUUGGUGAAUGAUUUAUGUAAAUGGAUACAUGAUCAUUAUUUGUAUGUGUUGGAUUGAUUGAGGUUUAUAUUGGGUUGAAAUUUGUGGAUAUGAUGAUUGGUUGAUGUGGAUUAUUAUGUGAUCAUUCUUGAGAU